GCCGGGAAGCUGGACCGGUCAUCGGCGCCUACGACGUGCAACCUCAGUUAAACAGCACGCCAGCAGCCAUCCGUCCGCCUGAAAAGCGGAAGGUCGGCGGUUCGAUCCCGCCCCUGGCCA
rnacentral:tRNA from 1 species